rnacentral:rRNA from 1 species
GACGAACGCUGGCGGCGUGCCUAAUACAUGCAAGUCGAACGAACCGCGACUAGGUGCUUGCACUUGGUCAAGGUGAGUGGCGAACGGGUGAGUAACACGUGGGUAACCUACCUCAUAGUGGGGGAUAACAGUCGGAAACGACUGCUAAUACCGCAUAGGACAUAGGAUCACAUGAUCCAGUGAGGAAAGGUGGCGCAAGCUAUCGCUAAGAGAUGGACCCGCGGUGCAUUAGCUAGUUGGUAGGGUAAAGGCCUACCAAGGCGAUGAUGCAUAGCCGACCUGAGAGGGUGAUCGGCCACAUUGGGACUGAGACACGGCCCAAACUCCUACGGGAGGCAGCAGUAGGGAAUCUUCCGCAAUGGACGCAAGUCUGACGGAGCAACGCCGCGUGAGUGAAGAAGGUCUUCGGAUCGUAAAGCUCUGUUGUUAGAGAAGGACAGCGCAUAGAGUAACUGUUAUGCGUGUGACGGUAUCUAACCAGAAAGCCACGGCUAACUACGUG